AAGUCGUAACAAGGUUUCCGUAGGUGAACCUGCGGAAGGAUCAUUAAAGAGUUGUCCUGCACCCCUCUGGGGAUGAGGUCUCCGGGUGAGGCCCGGAAUUAAACCCCCGGGUCCCCGUCUCUUCCACCCUGUGUUUACCUUCCAUGUUGCUUUGGCGGGCCUGGGUACGUCCUCCGGGACCCCCUGCCGGCGGCGGAUCCGUCCCCACCGGAGAGCGCCCGCCAGAGACCUUUACCAUUCUGAUUUUUCCAUGCGGUCUGAGCGAAAUACAAAUAAAACAAAACUUUCAACAACGGAUCUCUUGGUUCUG
rnacentral:misc_RNA from 1 species